ensembl:snRNA U6 U6 spliceosomal RNA
GUCCUCACUUCAACAACACAUAAACUAAAAUUGAAAUGAUACAGAGAAGAUUAGCAUGGCCCCUGUACAAGGAUGACAUGCAAAUUUGUGAAGUGUUUCAUAUUUUU